GCCCGCGACCAUACCAUGUUGGAAACAUGGGUUCUCGUCUCAUCACCGAAGUUAAGCAACGUUGAGCCCGGUUAGUACAUGCAUGGAUAACUGGCUGGGAAUAACGGGUGACGCGGCCG
rnacentral:rRNA from 1 species